ensembl:lncRNA
GUGUGGUGGUAACAACACAAUUAUGAGAGAAAGGCUGCUGCGGGAGAAAAACUUGACACUGGACACAAGUUUACAACUGUGCAGAGCAGCAGAGCUCUCCAAGGAGAACGUUAAAACCAUCACCGGGCCGAUGGUUGAAGAGGUGCAUGCUGUUCAAGGGGCGCAGUACCAGUGGAAAGGUAACGACACAGUGGAGUGUAAAUUCUGCAGAAGAACACAUGAAAGGACCAAACAGAAAUGUCCGGCGUUCGGAAAGAAGUGUGCAAAGUGUGGCAGAGAGAACCACUUUGCAGCCAAAUGUAAAGCUAAACCAGACCAAAGGAGGAAGAAACGUGAAAACCGACAACAGGGGGGACGAUGGAACAAAUCAAAACAAGUUAUGCUGACGUGUUCACUGGAGAUGGCUGCCUUGGAGGAAAAUACAAGAUGGAGGUGGACAGCACAGUGAAGCCGGUGCAGCUGCCAAAGAGACGGGUUCCAGUGUCCCUGAUGAAACCACUGAAGGAAGAGCUUAGAGACCUGCAACACAGAGGGAUAAUCACUCUUGUAGAAUGCAGCACAGACUGGAUCAGUGCUAUGGUGGUAGUACAGAAACAGAAUGGCAAGCCAAGGGUCUGUAUUGAUCCCAAACCCUUGAACAAAGCACUAAAACGCAGUCACUUCCCACUUCCAACCAUCGAGGACAUCUUACCAGACUUGUCAAAAGCUAAAGUGUUCACAGUGUGUGAUGUCAAGAGUGGAUUCUGGCAUGUACAGCUGGAGGAGGAGUCUAGCUAUUUGACAACAUUUGCCACUCCAUUUGGAAGGUACAGAUGGCGGAGGAUGCCGAUGGGGAUAAUUACUUCACCAAGUUUUGCCCACACCACUCAGACCAAUGCAAGGUAUUGAGAUACCUGACACACACACAAAGACAGUGAGUGGACAUGGACAACAGAACAUGGGGAGGCAUUCCUCAACCUGAAAGAGACAAUUGCGAAUGCUCCAGUAUUGAGAUAUUACAACCCUGAGGAGGAGCUGACAGUACAGUGUGACGCUUCAGACACAGGUUUGGGCGCAGCACUGAUGCAGAUGGGGAAGCCAGUCGCUUUCGCAAGCAGGGCACUUACACAAACUGAGGGGCACUAUGCCCAAAUGGAAAAAGAGUUUUUAGCAGUGGUUUUCAGCAUGGAGAAAUUCCACCAAUACACAUAUGGCCGCAAAGUCACACUACAGAGUGAUCAUAAGCCGUUAGAAACCAUUGUACGCAAACCCCUGCUGAGUGCACCCAAAAGGCUGCAGGGCAUGAUGCUGCGCAUACAAAAAUAUGACUUGGAUGUCAUUUAUGUGCCUGGAAGAGACAUGUUACUGGCCGACACUCUCAGCAGAGCCUAUCUUCCUGAGAGUACACCGGUGGAAGCUGAUCUAGAGACUGUCAACAUGGUGCAACACUUACCGAUCUCCUCAGACAGACUUCAUGACAUAAGGUCUGCCACAGAAAAAGACACCACAUUGCAGCUUCUCAUUAAAACAAUGAGCCAGAGAUGGCCCAAGGACAAAUCACAGGUACCGAGUGAAAUCAGGCCUUACUUCUCAUUACAAGGAGAAUUAAGCCACCAAGAUGGAAUAGUCUUCAGGGGUGAGCGUGCCGUAAUUCCUGACACGCUGAGAUCAGACAUCACUGGUCGAUUACACUCAUCGCAUCUGGGUGUUGAAGGAUGCCUACGUAUAGCUAGAGAGUGUGUCUACUGGCUGGGCAUGAACGACCAGAUUAAGACGUAUAUAGCCAAGUGUGAUAUCUGCAGGUCAAUGGACAAUAAACAGCAAAAAGAAACAUUGAUGUCACAUGAGGUUCCAAGCAGGCCAUGGGCGAAGGUGGGCACAGAUCUGUUUGUGUUUGACAACAAGAACUAUCUCAUCACUGUGGAUUAUUGGUCAAACUUUUGGGAAAUAGACUACCUGGUAGAUACCAAAUCUACCACAGUGAUAAAGAAACUGAAAGCUCAUUUUGCCCCCCAAGGCAUUCCGCAACACACCGUCACAGGGCCUGGAUAGUAGCCCAGCACAGCGACUACUCAGUCGUCGUACCAAAACACUGCUGCCAACGAAAGCAACCCUGCUCAGGCCAGAAGUCGUUCAGGUCAGCCAGAAGCUGAAGAACAGGCAUCAAUGUCAGCGUACAUACUACAACAGAUCAGCUAGAGGCUUGGACACACUUGCCACGGGUGACUGUGUGAGGAUACAACCACUCCCACCCCACGCUGUCUGGAGACUAGGCAGGGUGCUGAAGCCAGUUGAUGGGAGGUCCUAUGAGGUUCAGUUGCAAUCUGGAAGUUUCAUUAGGAGAAAUCGCAGACACCUCAGGCGUGCACCUGGUGUGACCUUUAGUGACCCUCUCGAUAUGGAGAUCAGCAUUCCCAGUCAGCCACAGGCUGUGAGACAUGAAUCUGCAGAGUCUGUUCCUGUCCCUCAGGGUGUCGCAGCAGAACAUACACCCAGAGACACUGGUGGCGGAGACACCCCUGUCACGACCAGAGCCGGGCGCACAGUGGUGCAGCCACAGCGAUAUAAGGACUGUGUGGUAUCAUGCAGAUGAAUGCUGAUUUUUACAUGCACCUGACACGUGAAAAGUGUACAAGCGCAAAAGUUAUGGUUUAUUUGAUAUUGUUGUGAUCAUUUGCACAUUUCAUGUUCUUAGUGAAUGGUUGAGUGUUAUCUCACUGUGAAAUUGGUGAUGCUGUGUUUUCAGUUUGUUAUAGGCUAUUUUCAUCAGUUGCUGAGAGAAGAUUUUGAUUGAUGAGCAUAUUGAAUUGUUUAUAAUUUAGCAAUAAGCAGUGUCAGUGUCAGUAUUAUAAUCUUGCUUGUUGGCCACAGUCAAAUGUUGAGAUAACAGCUCUAACUCUCAAAAGAGAAAGGAUAUAACAAUAGGAACUAUAGGUAGGAACCAUUGUUUAGUUCCGUGAGUCACACGGACUGUUAUUGGGGAAACACCGUCUUGUAACCAGACCGAGCAAGAUAGACCGUACAUGCUACGUGGAAGUUUAUUAAAGUUUACAACCCAGUGAGGUGAGACAUGGAAGAGUGUGCUCGUGUUUGUGAUUAAGUACCGCGUUAUAACACCUUGCAUCAAAGCGUAUCACAGUAUCGGAUCAACAGGGGACAUUACGACAUUUGCAGGAACACAUUCAAACAUAAAUCAAAGGUAGCGGAUUCGUUGAUCCGGACUAUAUCGUACGACUUAUGACUGAACAAAUCAAAUAAACAUCAAGUUUAUAUAAACACGCUGAAUUAGUCUGCCCAGAAAACCAGUCUCUUACUGUCUGAUGGGCUCGAUCGACGUGGCGUCGGUCGGUGGUUGCUCAUCAGCUUCUAGCUGACUGAGGAAGGUUGAGCUGCGCGUAGGGAAACUCGGUGGGCAAAGGCGAUUUGGAACUUCUCGUUGGGAACAGAGGCGGCGGGGGGAAUCAGAGAGCAGCUGUUUCUCCAGUCCUCCGGAGUGAGGCGGAGAUAAAAUCAAAAGCGAAAAGAAGCGGGGAAGGAGUGGAGCGAGAGUCUUGAGUUUGUCCAGCGAGAUUAAGACUGAAACUUGGGAAUUGGAGGGAAAAGAAAAGAAAGCAACCUUGUGUUGUCUCGAUCUAUUACUAACUGGGAAGUCAGGCGAAAGAGAUCGAUUCUUUGACGCAAUCUUUUUUUAUAAAGUUGAGGUCCAUAAAUAAAUGUCACUGUCCUCGGCCAAUGGGAGCUCUCUGUGUUCUUUCCUACAUCCUCUUUUUAUGACCAAGGGGGUCUGGACCCUCGCAGGGCUCCUGUUAUCAGCGCCUGGCAUCAGGCCACGGGGACCCCUAUAUGUUUGUGUUUUUCCUUUGUCCUCAGUGAAGAAAAACGUGGUGAGGUUUUUUAGCAGGGCGGAGGCCCAACAGCUUUAUAUUUAAUAUACAAACACGUGGUGGGCAUCAAUCUUCUCCAAUAACUGCUGUAAAAAAUGAUCAAACUGAUAUUUUAAAAGCGCAUUAAACGUCUUCUAUCAUUACGUUGACCUUUGUUGACCCUCCAGACCACAGUCAGCAAGCGUAUCUCAUAGCAAUAUCCUUUUGUAUUUGCCAGUGCGCGUUGAUGUAAUUGAAGCGGCAAGGUCACUGUGAUGCUUUUGUCGUUGAUGUUAAGUUCCGAGUUUUCUCCC